rnacentral:misc_RNA from 1 species
UAACAAUUAGGUUUUAUAUUUUUUAACAAUAUUUCUUAAUAUACAUGGAAAAUGAAGACGAUCUAAACGUAAUCAAACAGCAAUGGAUUAGGGAACAGUGUGAAUUGAAGAAGAAUCUAAUCGAGGAAGAUACAUAUAACUGGUUUCAAAAAGAUCCCAACGGUGAAGAGGAAAUUUUGCUGAAUUAUGUUGGUGGUGUUGAUAUUUCCUUUGUGAAAGGCGAUGAAAAACAUGCUUGUGCUGCAUUAGUGAUUUUGUCAUACCCAAAACUUGAAAUUGUGUAUGAGGAAUAUGAUUUUGUUCACUUAACCUCACCCUACAUACCACAAUUUCUGGCGUUUCGUGAGGCAUCAUUUUUGAAUGACCUUAUAACAAAACUGAAGAAGAACAAACCAGAACUACUGCCUGAGGUCAUAUUUGUUGAUGGAAAUGGAAUUUUGCAUCCAAGAGGAUUUGGCGUGGCAAGUCAUCUUGGCGUUAUUUCAAAUACGUGUACGAUUGGAGUUGGGAAGACGUUGUUUCAUGUUGACGGAAUUGAGAAGAAUCGGAAACACUUAGAAAAAAUCAACCAAUUACAAAGGGCUGGCGACUCUUUCAAGCUUGUCGGUAACUCCGGGAAGACAUUUGGAGCGGUUAGGCGUUUAAAAGUACGGAUGCUUCAAGAAAUCCAAUAUAUAUUUCAAUUGGUCAUAAAAUAAGUUUAGGAAGUGCACUGAGAAUAUGUGGGCUGUGUUGCAAGCAUCGCGUUCCAGAGCCUAUAAGACAGGCUGACAUUCGGUCUCGCGAGUUUCUUCGUCAGAACUACGAAACCAUGGUAACAAAAUGUUGUGCCAACGAGGAACAAUUGGGAU